rnacentral:rRNA from 1 species
GAUGAACGCUGGCGGCGUGCCUAACACAUGCAAGUCGAGCGGCAGCGAGGGGUGCUUGCACCCUGUCGGCGAGCGGCGGACGGCUGAGUAACGCGUGGGAACGUGCCCCAAAGUGAGGAAUAACUGCCCGAAAGGGUAGCUAAUACCGCAUAUUAUCUUCGGAUCAAAGGAUUUAUCCGCUUUGGGAGCGGCUCGCGUCGGAUUAGGUAGUUGGUGAGGUAAUGGCUCACCAAGCCGACGAUCCGUAGCUGGGCUGAGAGGAUGACCAGCCAGACUGGAACUGAGACACGGUCCAGACUCCUACGGGAGGCAGCAGUGAGGAAUCUUCCACAAUGGGCGAAAGCCUGAUGGAGCAACGCCGCGUGCAGGACGAAGGCCUUCGGGUUGUAAACUGCUUUUAUAAGUGAGGAAUAUGACGGUAACUUAUGAAUAAGGAUCGGCUAACUACGU